AGGUUAGUGCAAAAGUAAUUGCAGUUUUGCCAUCACUUUCAAUGGCCAAAACUGCAAUUACUUU
ensembl:miRNA